rnacentral:rRNA from 2 species
UCAUCUUCGGGGGUAGAGCACUGUUUCGGCUAGGGGGUCAUCCCGACUUACCAACCCGAUGCAAACUACGAAUACCGAAGAAUGUUAUCACGGGAGACACACGGCGGGUGCUAACGUCCGUCGUGAAGAGGGAAACAACCCAGACCGCCAGCUAAGGUCCCAAAGUCAUGGUUAAGUGGGAAACGAUGUGGGAAGGCACAGACAGCCAGGAUGUUGGCUUAGAAGCAGCCAUCAUUUAAAGAAAGCGUAAUAGCUCACUGGUCGAGUCGGCCUGCGCGGAAGAUGUAACGGGGCUAAACCAUGCACCGAAGCUGCGGCAGCGACACGAUGUGUUGUUGGGUAGGGGAGCGUUCUGUAAGCCUGCGAAGGUGACCUGUGAGGGUUGCUGGAGGUAUCAGAAGUGCGAAUGCUGACAUAAGUAACGAUAAAGCGGGUGAAAAGCCCGCUCGCCGGAAGACCAAGGGUUCCUGUCCAACGUUAAUCGGGGCAGGGUGAGUCGACCCCUAAGGCGAGGCCGAAAGGCGUAGUCGAUGGGAAACAGGUUAAUAUUCCUGUACUUGGUGUUACUGCGAAGGGGGGACGGAGAAGGCUAUGUUAGCCGGGCGACGGUUGUCCCGGUUUAAGCAUGUAGGCUGGUUAUCCAGGCAAAUCCGGAUAAUCAAGGCUGAGGUGUGAUGACGAGGCACUACGGUGCUGAAGUAACAAAUGCCCUGCUUCCAGGAAAAGCCUCUAAGCAUCAGGUAACAUCAAAUCGUACCCCAAACCGACACAGGUGGUCAGGUAGAGAAUACCAAGGCGCUUGAGAGAACUCGGGUGAAGGAACUAGGCAAAAUGGUGCCGUAACUUCGGGAGAAGGCACGCUGGUGUGUAGGUGAAGUCCCUGCGGAUGGAGCUGAGACCAGUCGAAGAUACCAGCUGGCUGCAACUGUUUAUUAAAAACACAGCACUGUGCAAACACGAAAGUGGACGUAUACGGUGUGACGCCUGCCCGGUGCCGGAAGGUUAAUUGAUGGGGUUAUCCGUAAGGAGAAGCUCUUGAUCGAAGCCCCGGUAAACGGCGGCCGUAACUAUAACGGUCCUAAGGUAGCGAAAUUCCUUGUCGGGUAAGUUCCGACCUGCACGAAUGGCGUAAUGAUGGCCAGGCUGUCUCCACCCGAGACUCAGUGAAAUUGAACUCGCUGUGAAGAUGCAGUGUACCCGCGGCAAGACGGAAAGACCCCGUGAACCUUUACUAUAGCUUGACACUGAACAUUGAGCCUUGAUGUGUAGGAUAGGUGGGAGGCUUUGAAGCGUGGACGCCAGUCUGCGUGGAGCCAACCUUGAAAUACCACCCUUUAAUGUUUGAUGUUCUAACGUNCGGGGUUGCGGACAGUGUCUGGUGGGUAGUUUGACUGGGGCGGUCUCCUCCCAAAGCGUAACGGAGGAGCACGAAGGUUAGCUAAUCCUGGUCGGACAUCAGGAGGUUAGUGCAAUGGCAUAAGCUAGCUUGACUGCGAGCGUGACGGCGCGAGCAGGUGCGAAAGCAGGUCAUAGUGAUCCGGUGGUUCUGAAUGGAAGGGCCAUCGCUCAACGGAUAAAAGGUACUCCGGGGAUAACAGGCUGAUACCGCCCAAGAGUUCAUAUCGACGGCGGUGUUUGGCACCUCGAUGUCGGCUCAUCACAUCCUGGGGCUGAAGUAGGUCCCAAGGGUAUGGCUGUUCGCCAUUUAAAGUGGUACGCGAGCUGGGUUUAGAACGUCGUGAGACAGUUCGGUCCCUAUCUGCCGUGGGCGCUGGAGAAUUGAGGGGGGCUGCUCCUAGUACGAGAGGACCGGAGUGGACGCAUCACUGGUGUUCGGGUUGUCAUGCCAAUGGCACUGCCCGGUAGCUAAAUGCGGAAGAGAUAAGUGCUGAAAGCAUCUAAGCACGAAACUUGCCCCGAGAUGAGUUCUCCCUGAGACUUUAAGUCUCCUGAAGGAACGUUGAAGACGACGACGUUGAUAGGCCGGGUGUGUAAGCGCAGCGAUGCGUUGAGCUAACCGGUACUAAUGAACCGUGAGGCUUAACCUU